rnacentral:rRNA from 1 species
UACGUAGGGGGCAAGCGUUGUUCGGAUUCACUGGGCGUAAAGGGUGCGUAGGUGGCGAGGUAAGUCGGAUGUGAAAGCUCGGAGCUCAACUCCGAAAUGGCAUUGGAAACUACCUUGCUCGAGGGUUGGAGGGGGGGGACUGGAAUUCUCGGUGUAGCAGUGAAAUGCGUAGAUAUCGAGAGGAACACCGGUGGCGAAGGCGGGUCUCUGGGCCGAUGACUGACGCUGAGGAGCGAAAGCGUGGGGAGCG